GUUUUUGUAGUUGAAUAACAACGGUGGUUUUUCAAGCCAUUAGUUCAGGUUAGAAUCCUGGGAAGAACU
rnacentral:tRNA from 2 species